rnacentral:tRNA from 1 species
AGUGAUAUGGCCGAGUUAAGGCGGUGGACUGUAAAUCCUCUUAUAAUAGUUUACUUAUUUGUCAUUA